rnacentral:rRNA from 1 species
AGUGAACGCUGGCGGUAGGCCUAACACAUGCAAGUCGAACGGCAGCACAGUACUAGCUUGCUCUUACGGGUGGCGAGUGGCGGACGGGUGAGGAAUACAUCGGACUCUACUUUUUCGUGGGGCUUAACGUAUGGAAACUUUCGCUAAUACCGCAUACGACCUACGGGUUAAAGCAGGGGAUCUUCCGACCUUGCGCGAUUUAAUGAGCCGAUGUCGGAUUAACUAGUUGGCGGGGUACAGGCCCACCAAGGCGACGAUCCGUAGCUGGUCUGAGCGGAUGAAGAGGGACAGUGGAAGUGAGACACGGUACAGAGUCCGACGGGAGGCAGAAGUGGGGAAUAGUGGAAAAAGGGCGCAAGACUGAUCAAGGCAUACCGCGUGGGUGAAGAAGGGCUGCGGGUUGUAAAGCCCUUUUGUUGGGAAAGAAAAGCAGCAGGUGAAUAGAAGGCUGUUGUGACGGUACCCAAAGAAUAAGCACCGGCUAACUUCGUG